rnacentral:lncRNA from 1 species
ACACAUUCCAGGGCCCCACCCUUAGAAAGCCUCAGAGGCGGCCGGGCGAGGUGGCUCACGCCUGUAAUCCCGGCACUUUGGGAGGCCGAGGCAGGUGGAUCACCUGAGGUCAGGAGUUCAAGACCAGCCUGGCCAACAUGGUGAAACCCCUUCUCUACAGAGAUACAAAAAUUAGCCUGGCAUGAUGGUGGGUGCCUGUAAUCCCAGCUACUCUGGAGGCUGAGGCAGAAGAAUCACCUGAACCUGGGUGGCAGAGGUUGCAGUGAGCCGAGAUAGUGCCAUUGCGCUCCAGCCCGAGUGACAGAGCAAAACUCCGUCUCAAGAAAUCCUCAGAAGGUGAGGUGGGGAGGAGCAGAUGUUUUGCCUCUAGUGAGACAAUAAUUUACUUCCCUAUUAUUGUUUGACUUUGCCUUGUUUCUGCCUAUGAAUUACUAACAGAGGCUUGCAGCACUAUCUAUGGGGCCUGAAACAUACAAUAAGGGGCCAGAAGGCCUUGAGAGAGCUGAAAAAGAAAUCAUCACCCUAGCCUCACCCAGUCACCUGUCUCCAGGCAAAAUAAUUCCCUGUCCUUCAUGAUGAUUCGGAGAAGACCAGCCCCACUCAGCUGCUGUUGCCAACCAACCAUAGUUCUUGUUACCCUGGGCCACAAGUGCCUUAUCCACUAGAUUGAGAAAGUUAAUGCCAGAGGGAAGUGAGAAACUAACUAUGGAAGAGUGGACCCAUGUUGCAAAAACAAAGUUCUAGGGAAAGACGUGAACAAAGAUGGGUGAGUAUGAAUGGGGUCUGACUGGAACAUGGCAGAGAAGAAAUUCAACUAUGCAAUGAGAUAAAGCAAAGAUUCUAAUGAAAGACUGAUGUGGUCAUAAACAAACAAACAAACAAACAAAAAACAGGUGCCCAAUGAAUACUUCUAACUGAAAAAAAAUCUGAAGAUGCUGGUCAGAGGAUCCUCAGGAGGGAAAAAACCUGACUUUCCUUGGUAAGGGCCUGUGGAGCAAGUAAUUGCAGCUUGAACCAUGGGGUCUCCUUGGAGCUGCGGGCACCAAGCAUCAGAUCUGAACACAGAAGCUGGGCCAGUUUGUUAAGUAGGGUGCGGCAGAGACUGUUAGUUGCCUAUCCAAUAUCCAGUCUCCUCUUUUUCCUUGGUCACAUAACCCAGAUUUUAAUCUGGGUGGCAGUGUGCUCAGCUGAAAGACUACACUUGGAAGCCACAUUUGCAGCCUGAGGGCCAGUGAGACAUAAGCAGAAGUUGUUGGGUAGUCUUCUGUGGACUCCUUAAGAGGGAAUAGACUACUCACAGACUCCUUUUUCUCCUUCUCCCUUCCUUCCAUGCCUUUCUGGAACAGGAAGUUUAACAUGAUGAUUGGCGCUCUAGCUGUCACAUUGGACCAUGAAG